rnacentral:snRNA from 1 species
GGAUGUGAGGGCAGUCUGGCUGCAACAUCUGUCACCCCACAGACGACCAGCCUGAUUGAGGUGACCUGGCUGACUGGUGGGUAUCUUCUUCCUCCUCAUUGCUCCAUGUGCAUCCCUACCAAAGGUGCACACUGGUUGAAGAGGGUGAUCUUCCCCAUGGAGAUGGUGCUGUUCAUCAGUCAAGGGUAUACAGUAGCCCUACCUCCUGCUAGAACCACUCUCCAAACAAGCUCAAGAUUUAUGGCUAUUUUUGCUGUAACUGCAGUUUAUCUAAUUUUGCAGUGACCUGCCAGAGAUCUAAAGAAAAUACUUUCUG